AGGCUUGGGUCGUCGAAAUCAGGGUACCCAACUAGCCUUGCGUGCCAUAAAAACAAAGCAAAAUAGAGGUAUCGGUGCCGUUGAUGAUGAUAUUACGGGAUCACAGGGAUGGGAUCAAACCGCUAACAGCUUUGCAUCCGUUUUAA
rnacentral:ribozyme from 1 species